UACGUAGGGUGCAAGCGUUAAUCGGAAUUACUGGGCGUAAAGCGUGCGCAGGCGGUUGGGCAAGACCGAUGUGAAAGCCCCGGGCUCAACCUGGGAACUGCAUCCAAAACUGGCAAGCUAGAGUACGGUAGAGGGUGGUGGAAUUUCCUGUGUAGCGGUGAAAUGCGUAGAUAUAGGAAGGAACACCAGUGGCGAAGGCGACCACCUGGACUGAUACUGACACUGAGGUGCGAAAGCGUGGGGAGCAAACAGG
rnacentral:rRNA from 1 species